rnacentral:rRNA from 1 species
UUGCUCCUCGAUUCAGCGGCGGACGGGUGAGUAAUGCCUAGGAAUCUGCCUAGUAGUGGGGGACAACGUUUCGAAAGGAACGCUAAUACCGCAUACGUCCUACGGGAGAAAGUGGGGGAUCUUCGGACCUCACGCUAUUAGAUGAGCCUAGGUCGGAUUAGCUAGUUGGUAGGGUAAAGGCCUACCAAGGCGACGAUCCGUAACUGGUCUGAGAGGAUGAUCAGUCACACUGGAACUGAGACACGGUCCAGACUCCUACGGGAGGCAGCAGUGGGGAAUAUUGGACAAUGGGCGAAAGCCUGAUCCAGCCAUGCCGCGUGUGUGAAGAAGGCCUUCGGGUCGUAAAGCACUUUAAGUUGGGAGGAAGGGCUCAUAGCGAAUACCUGUGAGYUUUGACGUUACCAACAGAAUAAGCACCGGCUAACUUCGUGCCAGCAGCCGCGGUAAUACGAAGGGUGCAAGCGUUAAUCGGAAUUACUGGGCGUAAAGCGCGCGUAGGUGGCUUGAUAAGUUGGAUGUGAAAUCCCCGGGCUCAACCUGGGAACUGCAUCCAAAACUGUCUGGCUAGAGUGCGGUAGAGGGUAGUGAAUUUCCAGUGUAGCGGUGAAAUGCGUAGAUAUUGUAUGAACACCAGUGGCGAAGCGACUACUGACUGACACUGACACUGAGUGCGAAGCGUGGGGGAGCAAACAGGAUUAG